rnacentral:rRNA from 1 species
GGCUCCUUGUAAUUUAAAUAAAUAAGGAGUCGGGCCUGCCCGGUGAAAUUUUUAAACGGCCGCGGUACUCUGACCGUGCAAAGGUAGCAUAAUCAUUUGCCUUAUAAUUGAAGGCUAGUAUGAAUGGUUUGACAAGAAUAUAACUGUCUCUUUAUGAUUAAAUAGAAUUUUAUAUGCAAGUGAAGAAGCUUGUAUUUAAUUAAAAGACAAGAAGACCCUAUCGAGCUUUAAAUAAAUUAAGAAAUUAAAUCUAUUAAUAGUACUAAAAAAUUAAUUCUUAAAAAUUUUAGUUGGGGCGACUGAGGAACAAAAAAAGCUUCCUUUAUAACUAAUAUAAUUCAGACAAGCAUCGAUCCAAAAUGUUUUGAUUAAAGAAAUUAGUUACCGUAGGGAUAACAGCAUUAUCUUUUUUAAGAGUUCUUAUCGAAAAAAAGGUUUGUGACCUCGAUGUUGGACCAGAAUAUCCCAAAGAUGCAGCAGUCUUUAAAGGUUGGUCUGUUCGACCAUUAAAAUUCUACG